rnacentral:rRNA from 1 species
AACGAACGCUGGCGGCAUGCCUAACACAUGCAAGUCGAACGAAGGCUUCGGCCUUAGUGGCGCACGGGUGCGUAACGCGUGGGAAUCUGCCCCUCGGUUCGGAAUAACAGUUAGAAAUGACUGCUAAUACCGGAUGAUGACUUCAGUCCAAAGAUUUAUCGCCGAGGGAUGAGCCCGCGUAAGAAUAGGUAGUUGGUGGGGUAAAGGCCUACCAAGCCGACGAUCUUUAGCUGGUCUGAGAGGAUGAUCAGCCACACUGGGACUGAGACACGGCCCAGACUCCUACGGGAGGCAGCAGUGGGGAAUAUUGGACAAUGGGCGAAAGCCUGAUCCAGCAAUGCCGCGUGAGUGAUGAAGGCCUUAGGGUUGUAAAGCUCUUUUACCAGGGAUGAUAAUGACAGUACCUGGAGAAUAAGCUCCGGCUAACUCCGUGCCAGCCGACGCCGUAA